GGGGGGGGGGGGGUAGGGGGUGCAACAUGUAAUUCUAUUUUUUCCCUUCACACCCACCAGAUGGAUGGCACCCUGGACAACUGCCCUUGUCACCUAUGGCUAGAACUGGUCCUGCCUCCAGGAGUUCCACUCAAAAAACUGUUUGUCCAACUGCCACAGGGGAAGAAAGAAAAGCUUGUCAGACCAUCCAGCGCCAGCAUGGAGGGGAAGUCCUUGCAGUUGGAGACCCCGGUGGAGUCGGUGACGCAGGUCUUCCACAGGUUGGACCAGAACGUGGCGGUGGUGAUUACCGUGCCGUCUAUGGAGGACACCUUCCAGUAGUCCGUGGGCAAGGUGGAGGAGAUGAGCACCCAGCCCGAAACGCUCAGGAUGAAGGCCAGGAUCUCCGUGGCCAUGUUGCUCAUUUUCGCGCGGCGACGGUGGCGGUGAUUGGACGCUUUCAAGGGUGAGUGAGCGCGGCUGCUGGCUGUAGCUGCUCGGGCUCCAGGUGAGGCACUCUGUGGCUGGGAUCCCAGUUAAAGGCACAAGGUGGGGUCGCUUGGUGCCGGUGGUUAUAUGCGCUCAACUGAUUUAUAUUCAACUGGGAGGGCUUAGUUUCACAGCAUCAUCUUCCUGCUGACCAAUAGCCUUGGACUACCCCCCCCCCC